GCCGCUGUGGUGGAAUUGGCAGACGCGCUGGACUCAAAAUCCAGUGGUAGCGAUACCAUACCGGUUCGACCCCGGUCAGCGGCACCA
rnacentral:tRNA from 1 species